CCUAAUUGCAGUAAAAUGAGCUGUCCCUUUAAAAGGGGGAAAAAAAACAUCCUUUCUACUUUGCAGUUCAAGUCAUUACUGCCAAAAGGAGCUUCCAAUCCUAACCUGCUGUGCCACAGAGUCAUUCCAUGAGGGAUUCAGCGGGUAUUUUGUUUGCUUACGAUUUUGUUACCUUUAGUUAGUAUUUCUGGGAUUAGGAUGACAAUUUUCACAGGAUUUUAAAGCAAGAUUAUCAAGCCUAUCUACUCAAAGUCUUUCACUAAGUGGUUAUUAAGACCUGGCAAUAGCCUCCAGUUUUAUAUAGGCUUUGAAGAUAAUCAUCUUUGUCAAGAGAAGUUGGACCGGGUGUAUCAUGGUGUGCUUAAAAUGAGAGGUGACCUUUAGAUGGUGAGACUGAACAAAAGCGUUGUAUGUGGAGAAGCUCAGCUGUGGUGGUGAGCCUUGAGGAGCAGCUCAGCCAGGAGGACAACAGCGAGCUGCAGGUUCAGCAUUUUUUUUUCUCCUUCCUUCAGUCUCUUCCAAUGUGUCUGUUAGCCCCUGCCCUGUCUCUUGGAAACAUGUUCUUCAUAUAGCCCCUGCUCUCUCAUGCUGCACUGAGUCCGCUGUCAGAUGAUUUUUCCUCUCCUACCACCAUGAACAGUUCUGGGACAGCUUAAAUAAAAUAGUAAUGAAGGCAAAUCCCUGAUAUGAA
rnacentral:lncRNA from 1 species